rnacentral:tRNA from 1 species
GGCACUGUGUGCAGUUGGUAGAGCAGCAGCUUCCCAAGCUGCAGGUCGCCGGUUCGAGACCGGUCAGCCG